rnacentral:rRNA from 1 species
GAUGAACGCUAGCGGUGUGCCUAAUGCAUGCAAGUCGAACGGGAUCCUUUGGAUUCGUCUGAAGGUGAGAGUGGCGAACGGGUGAGUAACACGUAGGUGACCUGCCCCGGAGAGGGGGACAACCACUGGAAACGGUGGCUAAUACCCCAGAUGUUAUUGCGCUUAGAAAGCAAUUACUAAAGUUCCGGCGCUCCGGGAGGGGCCUGCGGCCCAUCAGCUUGUUGGUAAGGUAAUGGCUUACCAAGGCUAAGACGGGUAGGGGGCGUGAGAGCGUGACCCCCCACACUGGUACUGAGACACGGACCAGAUACCUGCGGGUAGCAGCAGCAAGGAAUAUUGCCCAAUGGACGAAAGUCUGAGGCAGCAACACCGCGUGGAGGAUGAAGGCCUUCGGUUGUAACUCCUUUCUGGGGAAGAGAAAGGACGGUACCCCAGGAAUAAGUACUCGGCUAACUACGUG